rnacentral:rRNA from 1 species
CCUUGACAUACUAAGAACUUUCCAGAGAUGGAUUGGGUGCCUUCGGGAACUUAGAUACAGGUGCUGCAUGGCUGUCGUCAGCUCGUGUCGUGAGAUGUUGGGUUAAGUCCCGNAACGAGCGCAACCCUUUUCCUAUUUGCCAGCGGGUAAUGCCGGGAACUUUAAGGAUACUGCCAGUGACAAACUGGAGGAAGGCGGGGACGACGUCAAGUCAUCAUGGCCCUUACGGCCAGGGCUACACACGUGCUACAAUGGUCGGUACAAAGGGUUGCUACCUCGCGAGAGGAUGCUAAUCUCAAAAAGCCGAUCGUAGUCCGGAUCGCAGUCUGCAACUCGACUGCGUGAAGUCGGAAUCGCUAGUAAUCGCGGAUCAGAAUGCCGCGAUGAAUACGUUCCCGGGCCUUGUACACACCGCCCGUCACACCAUGGGAGUUUGUUGCACCAGAAGUAGGUAGUCUAACCGCAAGGAGGACGCUUACCACGGUGUGGCCGAUGACUGGGGUGAAGUCGUAACAAGGUAGGCGUAGAUGA